ensembl:lncRNA
GUGGCAGGGGAGACCCCCUUGAGGAGGAACUGGCAAUGCACUCCAGUAUUCUUGCCUGGAAAAUUCCAUGGACAGAAGAACCUGGUGGGCUCUUUAUUGGUUUACAUGCAGGUGUCCAGCUAUCCCAAGACCACUUCCCGAAGAGACGGUGUGACUUCAUUUUUAAAAACCCACUCGCUUUUCUUGAAUCCAUGGAUCUGAAAAGGAAACUCACAGACAAGGGAGGCCAAACAGGAAAGAGUCUGGCCAAGUCCUACCUGCCCCUCGAGAUUCUGUUGGAACGUCUCUCCGAGAAGCCCCCUUCUGGCUCCCUGCUUUGUCAACUGUGAACCACACGUUCACUGCAUUGCCCUGCAAUGAUGGGUUCACAGACGAGUCUCGCGAAUCUGUGGAUUCCCCAAGGUUUCUUGGCUGCGAGGCAUAUGGGAUCUUCAAUCCCUGACCAGGGAUUGAACCCGCACCCCCUGCAUUGGGAGGCGAAGUCUUAACCACUGGGCCCCCUGGAAAGUCCCCUAGAACCAUGGUCUUUGUUGUGUCUGUUUCCCAGACACCCAGCACAGCACUGGGUCUGUGGUAAUGACUGUGAAAAUGAAUGAAUGACUGUGAAGACAGCUCCACAAGCCAGAGAGGAUCUUUAUACAGCACGGGGCUGGACCAGAUGAUUCUAUCUCUUGUCUACACUGCGGUUCCAACAUCACAUAACCCUGCCGGGUCAGCGCCCCUCUGCUUUGUCACCCAUGGGCUGUUAACUGUUGCC